UGUUUUGACAUGUCCAGCCAACCAACCAUCUGCAGCUACAAACUCCCCGCUGAGAAACUGGCAAGACACAAAGAAAUGGAAAUCAACAAAGGAGUCGCUCUGUAAGCACAAGAGCUUCCGGCAGCCUCACUGACCGGAGACCAUAUCCCCUUCAGAAACCAGUUGAAAACAGGACUAUUUAUAAUGAACACGAAAUGAAAAGCAUGCUGUAGUAGUGACCCAGAAGGAAUGUGGCUUCUUCUCCAGGACUCAGAGACCCGUAGAUGGACUGUGCUUCUAGAUUUUACCUCCAACUUCUCUGAGAGGAACAGGUCAAAAUGAGCAGGAGACACAUGAGUGUGGUUCAGCAAACGUGGGCUCUUCUCUGCAAGAAUUGUCUUAAGAAGUGGAGGACGAGAGGAGCCACCUUCUUGGAAUGGUUUUUCUCAUUUCUUGUGGUCCUGUUUGUAUACCUAAGAUCCUGGAACCUACAUCAAGUUUAUGACUAUCAUGACAUUCCUGCAAUGGAUCUGGGACGUGUAGACCACUUUAAUUAUUCUGAUUACGUUAUCGCUUUCACACCUAAAUCCAAAACUACCAAAGAGAUAAUGGACAAAGUGGCUUCAGCCCCGUUCAUGACAGGAAGAACAAUCAAGGGGCGGCCUGAUGAAAAAGGCAUGGAUGAACUGGAUGUAGACUCCUUUAUAGAUGUUGUGAAAGUCAUCUUUACUGAUUCCUUCUCAUAUCAUCUGAAGUUUGAUUGGGAAUAUAGAAUGCCCAAGAUUAAAGAACACAGAGACCAUUCAGCUCACUGUGACAUAAUGAAUGAAGAAAUCACAUGUGAAUCUUUAGUGUUCUGGGAGAAAGGCUUUGUAGCUUUUCAAGCUGCCAUCAAUGCUGCUAUCAUAGAAAUUACAACAAAUCAUUCAGUGAUGGAACAGCUGAUGUCAGUUACUGGUAUAAAUAUGAAGAUAUUUCCUUUUAUUGCCCAAGGAGGAGUUGCAACUGAUAUUUUGAUUUUCUUCUGUGUUAUGUCUUUUUCUGCAUUUAUAUACUAUGCCUCAGUUAAUGUUGCACAAGAAAGACAAUACAUCACGUCGCUGAUGACAGUGAUGGGACUUCGCGAGUCGGCAUUCUGGCUCUCCUGGGGUUUGAUGUACGCCGGCUUCAUUCUUGUUAUGGCCACAGCGAUGGCUGUUAUUGUGAAAUCUGCACAAGUCGUGGUCCUCACCGGUUCUGCCGUGGUCUUCCUCCUCUUUCUCCUCUAUGGCCUGUCUUUGAUAACUUUAGCUUUCCUGAUGGGCGUGCUGAUCAAGAAACCUUUCCUCUCGGGCUUGGUUGUCUUUCUCCUUAUUGUCUUUUGGGGAUCCCUGGGACUCACAGCCUUGUACUCACAUCUUCCUGCAUUUUGUGAAUGGACCUUGUGUCUUCUGAGCCCCUUUGCCUUCACUGUGGGAAUGGCCCAGCUUAUACAUUUGGACUAUGAUGUGAAUGCUGAUGCCCAUUUGAAUUCUUUGACCAACCCACACCUCAUCCUAGCGACCUUUUUCAUGCUGGCUUUUGAUACUCUUCUCUACCUGGCAUUGACAUUGUAUUUUGACAAAGUUUUGCCCACUGAGUACGGACAUCGACGUUCUCCCUUGUUUUUCCUGAAAUCUUUUUGGUUUCAACACCGAAGACCUGAUCACGUGGCCCUUGAGAAUGAAAUGGAUUCUUACCCUUUGUCUGAUGACUCUUUUGAACCAGUAUCUCCAGAAUUCUAUGGCAAAGAAGGCAUCAGAAUCAAAAAUCUUAAAAAAGGAUAUGCAGGAAAGCUUGAAAAAAUAGAAGCUUUGAAAGGUUCGGUCACGAUCUAUAAUCACACGCUUUCAGAAAUGAGGGACUUGGAGACUGUCAGAAAGCUCACUGGAGUUUGUCCACAGACCAACGUGCAGUUUGGCUUUCUGACUGUGAAAGAAAACCUCAGACUGUUUGCUAAAAUCAAAGGGAUUCUGCCACACGAGGUGGAGCAACAGGUACAACAAGUUUUACGGGACUUAGACAUAGAAAAUGUUCAAGACACUCUUGCUCAAAAUUUAAGUGGUGGACAAAGUAGGAAACUCACUUUGGGGACUGCCAUUUUAGGAGAUCCUCAGGUUCUGCUGCUGGAUGAACCGACGGCUGGGCUGGAUCCUCUGUCCAGACACCGAGUGUGGAAUCUCCUGAAAGAGAGGAGGUCAGGCAGAGUGAUCCUCUUCAGCACCCAGUUCAUGGAUGAGGCUGACAUCCUGGCUGACAGGAAGGUGUUCAUAUCUGCUGGGAAGCUGAAGUGUGUGGGCUCUUCUCUGUUCCUGAAGAAGAAAUGGGGUAUUGGGUACCAUUUAAGUUUGCAUCUGAAUGAAAUGUGUGAACCAGAGAGGAUAACAUCACUGGUUAAACAGCACAUCCCUGAUGCCAAAUUAGCAGCACAAAGUGAAGAAAAACUUGUGUAUAUUUUGCCUGUAAGGAGGACAAACAAAUUUCCAGACCUUUGCAGGGAUCUUGAUAAAUGUUCUAAUCAAGGCAUUGAGAACUAUGAUGUUUCCAUGACAACGUUGAAUGAGGUGUUCCUGAAAUUAGAAGGAAAAUCAACACUUGAUGAAUCAGAUCUAGGAAUCUUGGAACAAUUACAAAGUGAUGGUGCAAAAGACACAGGAACCCUUGUUGAGCUGGAGCAAGUUUUGUCGUCUCUCAGAGAAGUCAGGGAAACCAUCAGCGGCAUGGCUCUAUGGAGGCAGCAGGUCUGCGCAAUGGCAAAAGUCCGCUUCCUAAAGUUAAAGAAUGAAAGAAAAAGCCUGUGGACUAUAUUACUGCUUUUGGGGAUUAGUCUUAUCCCUCAAUUUGUGGAAUAUGUAUUCUAUGAGGUAUAUCAAAAAAGUUACUCUUGGGAACUCUCUCCGAAUAUGUACUUCCUCUCACCAGGACAACCACCACAAGCUCCUCUGACCCAUCUACUGGUCGUCAAUAAAACAGGGUCAAGCAUAGAUGACUUCAUACAUUCACUGAGGCAGCAGAACAUAGCUUUAGAAGUGGAUGCUUUUGGGACUAGAAACGGCACAGAUCAGCCUUCAUACAACGGUGCUAUCAUUGUGUCAGGGGAUGGAAAGGAUCACAGAUUUUCAAUAGCUUGUAAUACAAAAAGGCUCAAUUGCUUUCCUGUCCUCAUGGAUGUCCUUAGUAAUGGGCUGCUUAGAAUUUUUAAUUCUUCAGAACACAUCCAGACUGAAGGAAGUUUAUUGUUUGUGAUAAAAGCUCGUUCCCAGCUGCGGGUUUCGGGCCUCUACGCCUCUGCUUACUGGUGUGGACAGGCGCUGGUGGACGUUCUCCUGCACUUCCUGAUCCUCCUUCUAAUGCACACGAUGGAUUACGUCUUCAACCCAGAAGAGAUUGCAUUGAUAAUUCAAAACUUGUUCAUUCACAUCUUGUGUAGUAUUGGCUAUGUCUCAUCUCUUGUUUUCUUGACAUAUGUGAUUUCAUUCAUUUCUCGCGAUGGGAGAAAAAAUAGUGGCACCUGGUCAUUUUUCUUCUUAAUUGCCACCAUCUUUGCGAUACUUACUGUUGAAAUGAAUCACAAUGGAUUUCUAGUAAUACUUUUCAGCACCGUAUUAAUACCGCCAUUCACAAUGCUUGGCUGUCUAUACAUUUUUUUUGAGGUUUCUCCUAACUCCAGGGAUUACUUGGGAGAGUCAGAGUCUCAAAUAGUAUACCUGGCACCGCUCCUGCCUUAUCUUCAGUUUUUCCUUUUCUUCUUCAUUCUGCGAUGUCUAGAAAAAAACUUCAGAAAGGGAGGAAUGAGAAAUGACCCUGUGUUCAGAAUUUCUCCAAGAAGUAGUGAUGUUUUCCCAAACCCAGAAGAACCAGAAGUGGAGGAUGAAGAUGUUCAGAUGGAAAGAACCAGGACAGAGAACGCUGUGACUGUCACAGACACGGAUGAGAAACCAGUCAUCAUUGCCAGCUGCCUGCGGAAGGAAUAUGCAGGCAAAAAGAAAAAUUGCUUUUCCAAAAGGAAGAAAAAAAUCGCCACAAGGAAUGUCUCUUUCUGUGUUAAAAAAGGUGAAGUUAUAGGGUUGUUAGGACACAAUGGAGCUGGGAAAAGUACAGUGAUUAAGAUGAUCUCUGGAGACACAAAACCAACCGCAGGGCAGGUGCUGUUGAAAGGGAGCGGCAGAGGAGACCCCCUGGGCGUCCUGGGGUCCUGUCCUCAGGAGAACGCGCUGUGGCCCAGCCUGACCGCCGGGGAGCACCUGGAGGCCUACGCCGCCGUGAAGGGGCUGCGGAGAGGGGACGCGGAGAUCGCCGGCUCAUGGUUGGCUGAUGCGCUCAAGCUGCAGGACCAUCUGAAGGCCCCGGUGGAGACCUUAUCGGAGGGAAUAAAGAGAAAGGUAGGGCCGGGGCUCGGGGCUGCUCUGUGCACCCGCAGACCGUGCCGGACGCGCUCUCCCUCCCCUUCCAUCUGGGCUUCGCCCUGAGCGUACUGGGGGACCCGCCGGUGGUGCUGCUGGACGAGCCGUCCACAGGGAUGGAUCCUGAGGGGCAACAACAAAUGUGGUGAGCAGUAUCACGAGUGACUUCUGCACGGAUUUAUACCCUCUGACAGUGGCCUUCACGGUCGCCCUUUACCUGGAAAGGGAAAGACCCCGCGUCACCAGGAAGGGCAAGAUUGAGAGAAAAAAUCACCUAAUGUCAUAGCACAGCCAGUCUUUACUGAGCAGAGAAAGGCGUGUUCCCUCACUGCAUAAACAUUCUAAGAAUUUUGUUUUUUCUUAGAUCUGUUAGGUCUGCAUGGAACACUUUUAUGCUCCGUCAAAUCAAUCUCUUAUGACAAUUUAAAUUUUUCUAUAGCAUUAUCUGAUACACAAUUCUUACAGUGGAAAUAAAGAAACAUUCCCAGUCUUCCUGAAUUCUGCUGUUUGGUACCUGUUGGGUAUAUUUUUUGAUUAUUGUGCAUUUUAGUCAGUCUUUCUUCUCACUGCCUUCUCCUAAGUGUCCCCUAACUUACCAUUUUUCUAAACAACAUUUUACUCAGUACCAUUCCCUAUAAUCGAACCAAGCCACGUUCUGAAUUACACACUCUAACUAGCAGUCUGGUUGUUUUCCAUGCCUGUCCAAAAACUCCCUUCUUUGUCUAAUCUCACUUCUUCCUUCAUAUGAGUGUCGGUGGAAACUUCUUUUUAAAAGUUCCACAAUACCUUAAAUGUUCCUUAAAUUAGUUAACAUUUCCCUCCACUGACAUUCAGGCAGGUGAUCCGGGCCGUGUGCAGGAACACGGACAGGGGCGUCCUCCUGACCACCCAGUACAUGGCCGAGGCCGAGGCCGUGUGUGACCAAGUGGCCAUCAUGGUGUCGGGGAGGCUGAGGUUCAUCGGUUCCAUCCAACACCUGAAGA